UAGUGCAACUGGAAGAAGGGAAAUGUUGGCAGUGGCUCAGGACUCUCUGCUAGUACAAGUCCUUGUAGAUCUCCUGCAGGAGCGGGUGAAGACUCAUGUCUGUCUCCGUCUUCUUGAUCACCUGCAGUAGCUGCACGUGUUCCGUGACAAUCUGUCUGAGACCGUGAGGUAUCAGAGGGCAGAGACUACGUUCUGAACCACCAGUGGAAACACAGGAAGCAUUUGGUUGACUGAGUUAAUGAGCGAGAAGGCUGUUCUGGCCAAGAGCCCUGGAUCAAAAAGCACAAUUCUCCUGGCUGGUGAACAGGCCUGA
rnacentral:lncRNA from 10 species